CCUAGUAACGGCGAGUGAAGAGGGAAGAGCCCAAGAUUGAAAGCUGGCGUCUUCGGCGUCCGCAUUGUAAUCUCAAGAAGUGUUUUCCGCUUCGGACCAAGCCUAAGUCCCUUGGAAAAGGGCAUCAUAGAGGGUGAUAAUCCCGUACAUGGCUUGGAGCGCCCGAAGCUUUGUGAUACGCUUUCUAAGAGUCGAGUUGUUUGGGAAUGCAGCUCAAAAUGGGUGGUAAAUGCCAUCUAAGGCUAAAUAUUGGGGAGAGACCGAUAGCGAACAAGUACAGUGAUGGAAAGAUGAAAAGAACUUUGAAAAGAGAGUUAAACAGUACGUGAAAUUGCCAAAAGGGAAGGGUAGGAGGUCAGAGAUGCGGCCUGGGAUUCAGCCUUGCUUUUGCUUGGUGUUUUUCCCAGAUUGCAGGCCAACGUCGGUUUUGGGCACUGGAGAAGGGUAGGAGGAACGUGGCACCUCUCGGGGUGUGUUAUAGCCUCCUACUGGAUACAGCGACCGAGACCGAGGACAGCAGCGUACUCGCAAGAGCGGGCCUUCGGGCACCUUUACGCUUAGGGCGUUGGC
rnacentral:rRNA from 1 species